rnacentral:rRNA from 3 species
AGUAGACCGCCUGGGGAGUACGGCCGCAAGGUUAAAACUCAAAUGAAUUGACGGGGGCCCGCACAAGCGGUGGAGCAUGUGGUUUAAUUCGAUGCAACGCGAAGAACCUUACCUGGUCUUGACAUCCACAGAAGAAUCCAGAGAUGGAUUUGUGCCUUCGGGAACUGUGAGACAGGUGCUGCAUGGCUGUCGUCAGCUCGUGUUGUGAAAUGUUGGGUUAAGUCCCGCAACGAGCGCAACCCUUAUCCUUUGUUGCCAGCGGUUAGGCCGGGAACUCAAAGGAGACUGCCAGUGAUAAACUGGAGGAAGGUGGGGAUGACGUCAAGUCAUCAUGGCCCUUACGACCAGGGCUACACACGUGCUACAAUGGCGCAUACAAAGAGAAGCGACCUCGCGAGAGCAAGCGGACCUCAUAAAGUGCGUCGUAGUCCGGAUUGGAGUCUGCAACUCGACUCCAUGAAGUCGGAAUCGCUAGUAAUCGUGGAUCAGAAUGCCACGGUGAAUACGUUCCCGGGCCUUGUACACACCGCCCGUCACACCAUGGGAGUGGGUUGCAAAAGAAGUAGGUAGCUUAACCUUCGGGAGGGCGCUUACCACUUUGUGAUUCAUGACUGGGGUGAAGUCGUAACAAGGUAACCGUAGGGGAACCUGCGGUUGGA